CCCACACGCCUCCCCAGCCCGCUGCCGCGCUGACAUCUUUGGAGAGGAGGCUUAGGAAGGCGAGGCGCCAUCGCUCAUUCUCGCGUCGUGUCUGUCCUGCUUACUAGUCGCUAGUGGGGCCACUGGCCUUCUCGCCAAACCUCUGGGAUCGGUGCUUACCGAAGCCCUGGCACUUGUGAGGGACAGCUGACUUCUUCCAGACUUUUCUAAACUGGAGGCUUCUUUUCAUACAUCCAAAAGGAAACUAACUUGUUUCUGGAACAAGUACUGUUUUCAGAGCACACACACACACACACGACCCCUACCUGUAUAUGCUGCCCCAGUACGGUUUUUACAGGUCGUGACCACAAUCCAGAAUUCCUAUCUGCUUCAUUUGAAAUUGAGAACAAUGUCAAAGUAACUAAACAAGCUGCACUACUUUACCUUGUGGGAGGAAUAUUGUCUCUGAGCCUAAGGCAAAAAUUCUGACGUUCUCAAGAGACCAGCUCUGCCCCCGUGGCUCAACUGACCCUACCAUGUGGACGCUGCUCCUCCAGGUGGGAACUGGAGUUUUGAAAUAAAAUG
rnacentral:sRNA from 1 species